rnacentral:rRNA from 1 species
UUAAGGAAUUGACGGGGCCGCACAGCGUGGGCAUGUGGUUAAUUCGAAGCAACGCGAAGAACCUUACCAGGUCUUGACAUCCCUGACAACCCGAGAGAUCGGGCGUUCCCCUUCGGGGGACAGGGUGACAGGUGGUGCAUGGUUGUCGUCAGCUCGUGUCGUGAGAUGUUGGGUUAAGUCCCCGGCAACGAGCGCAACCCUCGACCUUAGUUGCCAGCAUUCAGUUGGGCACUCUAAGGUGACUGCCGGCUAAAGGUCGGAGGAAGUGGGGAUGACGUCAAAUCAUCAUGCCCCUUAUGACCUGGGCUACACACGUGCUACAAUGGGCGGUACAAAGGGUCGCGAACCCGCGAGGGGGAGCCAAUCCCAAAAAGCCGCUCUCAGUUCGGAUUGCAGGCUGCAACUCGCCUGCAUGAAGCCGGAAUCGCUAGUAAUCGCGGAUCAGCAUGCCGCGGUCGAAUACGUUCCGGGCCUU